UACGGGGGGAGCAAACGUUGUUCGGAAUCACUGGGCGUAAAGAGCGUGUAGGCGGCUAUUUAAGUCCUGCGUGAAAUCCUGCGGCUCAACCGCAGACGGUCGUGGGAAACUGGAUGGCUAGAGUGCGGGAGAGGAGAGUGGAAUUCCCGGUGUAGCGGUGAAAUGCGCAGAUAUCGGGAAGAACACCCGUGGCGAAGGCGGCUCUCUGGAACGCAACUGACGCUGAGACGCGAAAGCGUGGGGAGCAAACAGG
rnacentral:rRNA from 1 species